AGAGAGAGAGAGAAAGCAAGCAAGAGCACGAGAUGUCAUUCCGGACUCCUGAUGCCGCCAGUCCCGCGGUGAGACGUGAGCGCCAUUGGCGUCCGUGGCCUCUGUUUCCGUGGCAACCCAGUAACCAUUAAUUUUCAAUUAAAGGAGACAAAAAGCUCUAUGACAGCUCCAGGUCUGCUGAAGAUGUCAAGAAUCUGUAUUAAUAUACAGCAAGAGAGCAUAAUUGUGUGUCCAUCUUCCAGAGCAGCGAAAAAUGGAGGGAUAAUUACCAGCUCGAAAGCCACUCUGUAAUUUAGUUCUUACUGUCACCACAGCCCUACACAUUAGCAUAAAUUAAAAGCAGAGUUUAUUGUUAUCAAAGUGCA